GCAUGUAAUGAAGSAUAGGGAGAGGYGGGGGCAUUAGUAUUUAGUGUCAGAAGUGAAAUUMUAGGAUUGACUAAAGACUGACCAARGSGAAAGCAUUUGCCAAGGAAGUUUUCAUUAAUCAAGAACGAAAGUAGGGGGAUCGAAGACGAUCAGAUACCGUYGUAGUCUCUACCGUAAACUAUGCCGACCAGGGAUCCGGAGAGUUUGCAUGGAUGRCUCCCCGGGCACCCAAGAGAAAUCAUAAUYUUGGUCUGGGGGGAGUAUAGUCGCAAGGCUGAAACUAAAGGAAUGACGGAAGGGCKCUUACAAUGC
rnacentral:rRNA from 1 species